AGGUUCCGUAGGUGACCUGCGGAGGAUCAUUCA
rnacentral:rRNA from 1 species